CAGGAAGAAGUGAAUGGGGCAGGAAUAACAGAUGGGACCGAGGGUGCCACCUUACACUAGGAUCUGCUUCCCAACUUUAAAGGCCUGUGGAAAUCAUUUCUUAAGACCCAUGAGACCCUCAUCUGGAUGUCACCUGCGCGACCACAUCAACCUGCUGGGACAGAGGACAGGUUGCAGUGUGGGAGAAGAGCCGACUCCUGGGCCUUAGAGGAACACGGACCUCUGUCCCCACCCCCACCUCACCUCUAGUCCCCAUGGCGCAGGUGGAGGAACACAGGGCAACAGGAAUGUUGGGAAGGUUGGGUCUCUUCCUCUGAGUGCCCAACAAGAGAGCUCCAUGCACCCUGAAAGACAGCUGGCCCUGCCACCUCACCCUGCCUUCUUCCUUUCUCUCUUAGCGUGCCACUAUGUUGGGUCUGGCUUAACCUGGUGCACGCAGGGCUCCAAGAAGGCCAGACACAGAAGUAGCAUUAAAA